AGCGAACGCUGGCGGCAGGCCUAACACAUGCAAGUCGAACGAACUCUUCGGAGUUAGUGGCGGACGGGUGAGUAACACGUGGGGACGUGCCUUUAGGUUCGGAAUAACUCAGGGAAACUUGUGCUAAUACCGAAUGUGCCCUUCGGGGGAAAGAUUUAUCGCCUUUAGAGCGGCCCGCGUCUGAUUAGCUAGUUGGUGAGGUAAAGGCUCACCAAGGCGACGAUCAGUAGCUGGUCUGAGAGGAUGAUCAGCCACAUUGGGACUGAGACACGGCCCAAACUCCUACGGGAGGCAGCAGUGGGGAAUCUUGCGCAAUGGGCGAAAGCCUGACGCAGCCAUGCCGCGUGAAUGAUGAAGGUCUUAGGAUUGUAAAAUUCUUUCACCGGGGACGAUAAUGACGGUACCCGGAGAAGAAGCCCCGGCUAACUUCGUG
rnacentral:rRNA from 1 species